rnacentral:tRNA from 1 species
GCUGGUUUGGCUCAGUGGAUAGAGCAUCAGCCUGUGGACUGAAGGGUCCCAGGUUCGAUUCC